UACUGCCCACACACAGGUAGUCGAGGAGAGUAUCCUAAGGUGUGCGAGAGAACUCUCGUUAAGGAACUCGGCAAAAUGACCCCGUAACUUCGGGAGAAGGGGUGCUGUUCGCAAGAACAGCCGCAGUGAAUAGGCCCAAGCGACUGUUUAUCAAAAACACAGGUCUCUGCAAAAUCGAAAGAUGAAGUAUAGGGGCUGACGCCUGCCCGGUGCUGGAAGGUUAAGAGGAGUGCUUAGCGCAAGCGAAGGUACGAAUUGAAGCCCCAGUAAACGGCGGCCGUAACAAUAACGGUCCUAAGGUAGCGAAAUUCCUUGUCGGGUAAGUUCCGACCCGCACGAAAGGCGUAACGAUUUGGGCACUGUCUCAACGAGAGACUCGGUGAAAUUUUAGUACCUGUGAAGAUGCAGGUUACCCGCGACAGGACGGAAAGACCCCAUGGAGCUUUACUGUAAUUUGAUAUUGAGUGUCUGUACCGCAUGUACAGGAUAGGUAGGAGCCGUAGAGAUCGGGACGCUAGUUUCGAUGGAGGCAAUGGUGGGAUACUACCCUUGCGUUAUGGCCACUCUAACCCGCAUCACUAAUCGUGAUGGGAGACAGUGUCAGAUGGGCAGUUUGACUGGGGCGGUCGCCUCCUAAAAGGUAACGGAGGCGCCCAAAGGUUCCCUCAGAAUGGUUGGAAAUCAUUCGUAGAGUGCAAAGGCAAAAGGGAGCUUGACUGCGAGAGCUACAACUCGAGCAGGGACGAAAGUCGGGCUUAGUGAUCCGGUGGUUCCGCAUGGAAGGGCCAUCGCUCAACAGAUAAAAGCUACCCUGGGGAUAACAGGCUUAUCUCCCCCAAGAGUCCACAUCGACGGGGAGGUUUGGCACCUCGAUGUCGGCUCGUCGCAUCCUGGGGCUGUAGUCGGUCCCAAGGGUUGGGCUGUUCGCCCAUUAAAGCGGCACGCGAGCUGGGUUCAGAACGUCGUGAGACAGUUCGGUCCCUAUCCGUCGCGGGCGUUGGAAAUUUGAGAGGAGCUGUCCUUAGUACGAGAGGACCGGGAUGGACUUACCGCUGGUGUACCAGUUGUCUCGCCAGAGGCAUCGCUGGGUAGCUAUGUAGGGAAGGGAUAAACGCUGAAAGCAUCUAAGUGUGAAGCCCACCUCAAGAUGAGAUUUCCCAUUUCUUUAAGAAAGUAAGAUCCCUGAGUGAUGAUCAGGUAGAUAGGUCAGGAGUGGAAGUGCAGCGAUGUACGGAGCGGACUGAUACUAAUCGAUCGAGGACUUAACU
rnacentral:rRNA from 1 species